rnacentral:lncRNA from 1 species
GGUGAGAGAAUAAAACUCACAUUGAAUGCAAACUAACAAACCGCUAGUUAGGCUUCAGAGGCCUGGAGUACACACAGGCCUGUUAAAUGCUGACUUUCAAAAGACCUGUUACUAUGGCAAAGCUGUGUUCAUUACCAUUUACCAGUAAGGAAGGCUGAUAGUGUCUUGAUAAGGGAAGGGCAAGGUCUGUUUUAUUAAGACUUUGAGGCCUGGUUGAAGGCAGAUCAGAGAGGCCUGAUUAGGACUGAGAGAGGAUUGUGGUAUAACAGAUUAAGAUUGUGGGCUACAACCAUGUAAGGCCAAGCCUAGGAAUGUAAAUUUACACUGUCUGCUGAUGACUUGAGACUUGCCAGAAAUUUCUGCAAUGAAACAAAAGAUUUGCUACUUGCUUUUCCAAGAAAUGUACUCCAGUUUGGAAGCUGUAAUAACAAAAACAGAGUGAGGGCCUUCCCUACGAAAGUGAGAGGAAGAUUCCAGAGGAAGAGGCAGGAUCACCACACCCUGGAGAGCACCCCAGAUGGAGGAGUGGAAGAGGUGAUCGAUUCAGCUUUGCAAUUGCUGGCUGUGAGGUGCAGAGGAUGGGGCUAGCCUGGAAAAUGCAGAAUGAGAGCUUCUCUGGGAGGUGGGUUUGCACACGUGGGUUCAGGCUUCUUCAACAGCUGAAGCUACAAAAUAGCUGUAGUCAGCAGAGGAGAGAGUGAGGGCACAUGGUACAGAGGGGAAAAACCCUGAAGGAGACAGUGGUGGCUUUGCCGUAGCAUCCGUGGCUGAGCAAAACCAAAUCCUUACAAGG